GAUGAACGCUGGCGGCGUGCCUAAUACAUGCAAGUCGAGCGAACGGACGAGAAGCUUGCUUCUCUGAUGUUAGCGGCGGACGGGUGAGUAACACGUGGAUAACCUCCCUAUAAGACUGGGAUAACUUCGGGAAACCGGAGCUAAUACCGGAUAAUAUUUUGAACCGCAUGGUUCAAAAGUGAAAGACGGUCUUGCUGUCACUUAUAGAUGGAUUCGCGCUGCAUUAGCUAGUUGGUAAGGUAACGGCUUACCAAGGCAACGAUGCAUAGCCGACCUGAGAGGGUGAUCGGCCACCAUGGAACUGAGACACGGUCCAGACUCCUACGGGAGGCAGCAGUAGGGAAUCUUCCGCAAUGGGCGAAAGCCUGACGGAGCAACGCCGCGUGAGUGAUGAAGGUCUUCGGAUCGUAAAACUCUGUUAUUAGGGAAGAACAUAUGUGUAAGUAACUGUGCACAUCUUGACGGUACCUAAUCAGAAAGCCACGGCUAACUACGUG
rnacentral:rRNA from 1 species